rnacentral:tRNA from 1 species
CUUUUUAGUUAAGCUAGAACGGCACCUUUUCAUGGUGAAGGCACACGACCUAGAAGU